AGGACAAGGCAAGGGCAGAAAAUGGAGAUGCUCUGGAGUUAUCAAUCUUUUGAAAUACAGUUUAAGCGCAUAUCUUCUGUUGCCAUCACUGGGAAAACAUCAGACAGUGGUAUCUUGGAGGAAGACAUCACAGAAAAACCACUCAGCCAAAGAUUUCCCUGUAAGUGAAGAAGAUCAUACCUGUAGCACAAAUCCACCUAUUCUAUAUGAAAUCAGAAAGAGCAAAACCUUGGAUUUGAAAAACCCUGGAGUUUUGUGGAAUGUUUGAUCCUGAUCUGGCAUGUGUGGCUCAAGCCUUUGUGGCUCACUGUGUGUUGGGGAUUUUUUAUGCUGAAGAAAAUACACAGUAAAUCCAGGCCUGUAUGAUCAAGAUCCCUGGACAUAUAUGCAUUAAAAUAGAAUAAACCAAUUCAGAAAACUG